rnacentral:rRNA from 1 species
AACGAACGCUGGCGGCGUGCUUAACACAUGCAAGUCGAACGGUAAGGCCCUUCGGGGUACACGAGUGGCGAACGGGUGAGUAACACGUGGGUGAUCUGCCCUGCACUUCGGGAUAAGCCUGGGAAACUGGGUCUAAUACCGGAUAGGACCACUGCCUGCAUGGGGGGUGGUGGAAAGCUUUUGCGGUGUGGGAUGGGCCCGCGGCCUAUCAGCUUGUUGGUGGGGUGAUGGCCUACCAAGGCGACGACGGGUAGCCGGCCUGAGAGGGUGACCGGCCACACUGGGACUGAGAUACGGCCCAGACUCCUACGGGAGGCAGCAGUGGGGAAUAUUGCACAAUGGGCGCAAGCCUGAUGCAGCGACGCCGCGUGAGGGAUGACGGCCUUCGGGUUGUAAACCUCUUUCAGCACCGACGAAGCGCAAGUGACGGUAGGUGCAGAAGAAGGACCGGCCAACUACGUGCCAGCAGCCGCGGUAACAC